rnacentral:rRNA from 1 species
GUGGGGAAUAUUGGACAAUGGGCGAAAGCCUGAUCCAGCCAUGCCGCGUGUGUGAAGAAGGUCUUCGGAUUGUAAAGCACUUUAAGUUGGGAGGAAGGGCAGUAAGUUAAUACCUUGCUGUUUUGACGUUACCGACAGAAUAAGCACCGGCUAACUUCGUGCCAGCAGCCGCGGUAAUACGAAGGGUGCAAGCGUUAAUCGGAAUUACUGGGCGUAAAGCGCGCGUAGGUGGUUUUGUAAGUUGGAGGUGAAAUCCCCGGGCUCAACCUGGGAACUGCCUCCAAAACUGCAUGACUAGAGUACGGUAGAGGGUAGUGGAAUUUCCUGUGUAGCGGUGAAAUGCGUAGAUAUAGGAAGGAACACCAGUGGCGAAGGCGACCACCUGGACUGAUACUGACACUGAGGUGCGAAAGCGUGGGGAGCAAACAGGAUUAGAUACCCCGGUAGUCC